rnacentral:rRNA from 1 species
AUUGAACGCUGGCGGCAUGCCUUACACAUGCAAGUCGAACGGUAACGCGGGGCAACCUGGCGACGAGUGGCGAACGGGUGAGUAAUGUAUCGGAACGUGCCCAGUUGUGGGGGAUAACUGCUCGAAAGAGCAGCUAAUACCGCAUACGACCUGAGGGUGAAAGCGGGGGAUCGCAAGACCUCGCGCAAUUGGAGCGGCCGAUAUCAGAUUAGGUAGUUGGUGGGGUAAAGGCUCACCAAGCCAACGAUCUGUAGCUGGUCUGAGAGGACGACCAGCCACACUGGGACUGAGACACGGCCCAGACUCCUAAGGGAGGCAGCAGUGGGGAAUUUUGGACAAUGGACGCAAGUCUGAUCCAGCCAUGCCGCGUGCGGGAAGAAGGCCUUCGGGUUGUAAACCGCUUUUGUCAGGGAAGAAACGCUCUGGGUUAAUACCUCGGGGUAAUGACGGUACCUGAAGAAUGAGCACCGGCUAACUACGUGCCAGCAGCCGCGGUAACAC